CUGUGCACAUAGACUCUGAGGACAGAGCUGAGAUUCCAUCAUUCCCCCGCUGACCCCUGCAUCUUCAUUUUCCCAUGUUCUUGGACCCUAAGCUUAUUUCAGGAGAGCAGCAAACAAUUUUGCCAUACAUUUAAAAACCAAAAUAAUUUUGAGUGAGUUUGGCCUUAAAAAAUAGUUACAAUCCCUAAACAUUUAGGAAUAUGAGACUAUAAAAACUAGGCUCCCAGUCCCAGCUUAGUUUUAACACUUACAAGCUUUAGCCUCCGGCUAUUGAAUAUAUUCCCAGCUGGUCAGGAUGUCUCUCUUAACAUUGCCUUGGCUCACUCAGAAUUUGAAGUAAUUAUCCAAUUAAUCAGAAAUUUCCCUAUGUCUGAUUAACCCAAUCCUUCAAACUGCCAGUUGGCUCUAUACCCAGAGAGCACUACUGUUUAUUCCAAAGUAGCAAUAAUUUAUUUUACUCUGUGUGUGCUUCCUGGGUCUAGGGAAGAAAUAUUUAUUAUAUUUGUGAGAGUGCUAACUCUGACACCAGAGCCUCUUUUCUACACUUUGCAACCAGACUCAGCAAACAUGCCUCCUUCCUGAGCCGCCAGCUCAGGUGGCCCAGACCGUGUACAGUCACCUUCUGUGCCCCGAGGACGUUAGGCCUCACAGAACCCACAGUCACACAGCCAUACCCUGCCAGGACCUUUGCAUUAGGAGCGAAACCAGGGAAGAGGCCCCUGCCACCCCAAGCCAGAGCUUCCAGUCACCCUAGUGUCUCCCACAACUAGGUGCAGAGUUCCUUGUUCAUAGUUAGGCCCAAAUUGUUUAUUCCUGAUUAGAUGUAAUGCUGUUCAUUAUUCAUCACAAGUGGUUUUGAUGAUGAUAAUUUUCAUGCUUGCAGUCAUUACUAAAUGUUCAGCUAAAGCCUAGUCUCGCAUGCAGCCCGUUCCUACGGCGUGCAGCCCGUUCACCUUCAGGUUAAUCUCACCAUAGCCAUUCCUACGGCGUGCAGCCUGUUCACCUUCAGGUUAAUCUCACCAUAGCCGUUCCUACAGCGUGCAGCCCGUUCACCUUCAGGUUAAUUCUCACCAUAGCCGUUCCUACGGCAUGCAGUCCGUUCACCUUCCAGGUUAAGGCAAGGAGUCUGAGUUUUCAGCAGUGGGACUAGUAUGUGUGUUGUUUUUCUUGCUGAGUGGCUCAGUGUGGUUAUCAGUGUAAUUUGAUAUUGCACUGUUGUGUUUCUGUCCCUGCCAUCUGCUAUCUGUCUGAGGGACAGAGGGUUGGUGAGGCCAGGCACAUGGUUUUGCACCGUAAUAUUACUUUACAUUCUUCCGCCUGUUCCAGAACUGGCCUCACUUUGUUUUGUGACUAUAGCCCCCAAAUUGAGUCCGUGUUCCAUCCGUCCAAACCUGAGAAUGUUAAGGGCUUGGUCUCCUUCCAGAGAGGAAGACUCUUCUUGCCCCAGACUGGCCCCUGGCUUGGGGAAGCCUGUGCAUAUAUUUGUAGCGCUGUUUAAGAAAAGCUGAGCAGUCCUGAGCACAGCUGGAGAAACGCAAAAGCAAUUUAAAGACCUGGCUGUCAACUAGAUUGCAAUGUCGCUUUUGAAGUCUGAGAUGUGAAUUGACAGCAGUUCUGAACACGAGUGGCUCAGGAGAGGCUUGACUAGAGAGUAGGAGGGCAGGACAGCGAGUGCCAUCUCUGCAGCGGCCAGAGAGCCAGGAGGACUGAAAGCGGAAGGAAGUGCAAUGUGGAACUGUGUCCCUUGGAGGAAACCUAAUGAAAUGCGUGGCAGCUUGUGAGAACUGUGAUAAAAAUGACUCCGAGGCCCAGAGUAAAGGUGGACAGCAACCAGGGGUAGGUGACAUGUGAGGAACCACACCCUGAACACAGGGGCAUGAUACAUAGGAAAUACAGGGGACUGCACUGCAGACUAAACCACAAAGCGAUGGUAAAGGGCCUCAACCACCCACCCUGGUGACAGGGAGCUUGCAGAGGAAGAUGCAGUAGUGAUACUUACUGCAGAGAUAUGAUUGUUGCCUUAGAAAAUAGUUCAGGACCCAAAAAGAUAGAAAAGUCUAGUUGAAGCCAAUAGCUCUUAAUAGAAAAACCACUGUGUAAUUGUAUCACGUAACCAUGACUGUAUUUAACAACUAGAAAGUAAAGGAACUUACGAUUAUGUGUUCUGGAAAUUGUAAUUACCAUGAAAUUUAACACAGUGACUAUUUACCGCCCCACCAUUGUAAGACAGUAUGGCUGGAACUUCAAGUAGUAUACAAAUAAGGGGACAGACUCUCUCUUCUUGAGGCUUGCAGAUAAUAAGCGUGACAAGACACGUACAAAUCACUCUGACAGGAAGUAGAACAUCUCCUCCAGAGAAGCUAGCGAAGUCUCAGGAGAGUUUAGGAGAGAGUUGCAGACUUAAGUGAGGUGACUGAUGUGGCAGAGUGCCAAAGGGGAGCAAACAGAGUGUCCCAGAAGCAAGCCUUAUCCAAGAGAAGGAAGAAUGUUGGAGGAAAUGGGGUGGGCAUGGGAAUGGUUUUUGAGGCAUUUCCCCUUAGAUGGAAAUGAGGGAUUUGUCAGAAGGCUCGAAGAAGUUCAAGGAAAAGCAUCAGGCCUAGAAAACCAAGACUAUACUGUUUGCACCUAAACAAAAAAGCACUUGGCCAUGGGCUCCAAAGCUGAACAGCAUCCCCUAUCCUCCCGCUUUCUGUUCAAGCUUUGGAGACACUCUGACCAGUUACUUUUCUACUAUGGUAAAAUACCAUGGCCAAGGCAACUCACAGAUGAGUUGAUUUGGGGCUAUGGUUCUAGAGGGUUAGAAUCCAGAUGGCAGAGCUAAAUCCGUCAGCAACAGGAAGAGCUGAGAGUCUACAUCUCAAACCACAGGGGAGACAAAGAGCACUAAUUCAAAACCAUAAAUCCUCUGAAACCUCAGAGCCUUCCUUCAGCAACACACUUCCUCCAUCAAGGUUUCGCCUCCUUAUUCUCCAAAACAGACAACUGGGGAUCAAGUAUUCAUAUGCCCAAGACUUACUGGGGACAUCUUAUUCAAAGCACCAGUCUCUAACUCUGGUCAUCCUUGCCAGCAAACCACAUUUCUCCUGGGAGAUAAGUCACAGUCUGAAACUAUUGUUCAAAUGACUUCUGCCUGAAAAAUGGACAACCAGAGAAAGAAAAACGACAUUUAUUAUUACCUGAGCAAAGAGGUCAGCCUGAAUUGGAAUCUCUUUGCACUGACACCUACAACAGUGGAACCUCACUGCCCUCCUAUCCUGGUUAAGAAGCCCCGCACAACCAGCAUCAGAAUGUGCUCCUGGCCAGUGACUGCCAACUAGAGGGAGGGAACCCAGAAGCCAGACUCACAGCGCCAUGUAAGGGACGUUUGUGCUCUAACACAUGCCUAAGUUGGAACCUGUUUGUCCUGUGACUCAGCCCCAGCAAUGGGAGCCGUACACUCAGCCAUCCUCAGUGCAUCUUCAUCACAGGCUUCCAUUCAAGGCUGAAGGGCUGCAUCCUGAAAAGGCAGCACUGCAACCUGUCUGUCCCCAGCAUCGUAUCCUCAUGCUCUAGUAUACCACUGCCACACUGAUGUGUGGCAGCCUCCUCUUUACUCCUCACCUUCCAUAGCUGGGGCUAUGGGCACCAGAGAGGAAUUGGAUCUGCUCUGGCACGUGCUCAACACAUGGGCUUAAUGUACCGCAGCCCAAGCCAGCUGAGUCAGACUGGUUGAGGAAGAGAGAGCUGAACUAACUACUGAAGAAAGGGGAAGGAAAACCAGCACCUCCUUCCAGGCCCCUUUCUGAUGUCCUACAGAGUGGUCAUGUGAAGGCUGACCUUAAUGUAGACAGAUGUGCAAGUGAAUACAUACAGAUAUAGAUAACAGAGAAUACCAUUUGAAUAAAAUAUAUGGACCAUACUAAAGUUGUGGUGAAUGGAAGAUAGCUUAGUUGGCAAAGUGCUUGCCAUGCACGCAUAAGGAGCUGAACAUGAACCCCAGAACCCACAUGAAAAACUUGAGCAUGGUAGUGCAUGCUUGUAAAUCCAGCCCUGGGGUUACAAAGACAGGCAGAUUCCCUGAGACACAGUGGCUGACUAGCCUAGCUUAGCCUACUUGGCAAGCUGCAGGCCAGAGGGAAACCUUGUCUCAGGAAAGAAGAUGGACAUCUCCUGAGGACACUGUGCUCCUCAUGCCUCAGCACACACACACAAACACACAUACGUGAACAGUAAACAAACACAUUUAAGGUACCGUUUCUCAACCUGAUAGCUAAAUUAAAAGCUAUAGAACAUCAAAAGGAGGACUUUAGUCUGCAGGCUCUGCUGCUUAUCCUCCUCAGUA